rnacentral:guide_RNA from 1 species
AAAAUACCACAUAGAUCUUAUACGUAUAAUAGAAAGUGAGAAUUAUGC